rnacentral:rRNA from 1 species
UACGUAGGGUGCAAGCGUUGUCCGGAAUUAUUGGGCGUAAAGAGCUCGUAGGCGGUUUGUCGCGUCUGCUGUGAAAACUGGAGGCUCAACCUCCAGCCUGCAGUGGGUACGGGCAGACUAGAGUGCGGUAGGGGAGAUUGGAAUUCCUGGUGUAGCGGUGGAAUGCGCAGAUAUCAGGAGGAACACCGAUGGCGAAGGCAGCUCGCUGGGACGGUACUGACGCUGAGACGCGAAAGCGUGGGGAGCAAACAGG